GACGAACGCUGGCGGCGUGCUUAACACAUGCAAGUCGAACGGAAAGGCCCUGCUUUUGUGGGGUGCUCGAGUGGCGAACGGGUGAGUAACACGUGAGUAACCUGCCCUUGACUUUGGGAUAACUUCAGGAAACUGGGGCUAAUACCGGAUAGGAGCUCCUGCUGCAUGGUGGGGGUUGGAAAGUUUCGGCGGUUAGGGAUGGACUCGCGGCUUAUCAGCUUGUUGGUGGGGUAGUGGCUUACCAAGGCUUUGACGGGUAGCCGGCCUGAGAGGGUGACCGGCCACAUUGGGACUGAGAUACGGCCCAGACUCCUACGGGAGGCAGCAGUGGGGAAUAUUGCACAAUGGGCGGAAGCCUGAUGCAGCAACGCCGCGUGCGGGAUGACGGCCUUCGGGGUGUAAACCGCUUUCGCCUGUGACGAAGCGUGAGUGACGGUAAUGGGUAAAGAAGCACCGGCUAACUACGUG
rnacentral:rRNA from 1 species